rnacentral:rRNA from 1 species
UCAGAAACUCAAAGGAAUUGACGGGGGCCCGCACAAGCGGUGGAGCAUGUGGUUUAAUUCGAUGAUACGCGAGGAACCUUACCUGGGCUCAAAUGUAUGUUGACGUAUUCUGAAAGGGAUACUUCUUCGGACAAUAUACAAGGUGCUGCAUGGUUGUCGUCAGCUCGUGUCGUGAGGUGUCGGGUUAAGUCCCAUAACGAGCGCAACCCCUAUCAUUAGUUGCCAUCAGGUCAAGCUGGGGACUCUAAUGAAACUGCCUACGCAAGUAGUGAGGAAGGUGGGGAUGACGUCAAAUCAGCACGGCCCUUACGACCUGGGCUACAAACGUGAUACAAUGGCUGGAACAAAGGGAUGCGAAGCAGUGAUGUGGAGCGAAACCCAUAAAAACAGUCUCAGUUCGGAUUGAAGUCUGCAACUCGACUUCAUGAAGUCGGAAUCGCUAGUAAUCGCGGAUCAGAACGCCGCGGUGAAUACGUUCUCGGGGUUU